GGUUAAGUGAUUAAGCGUACACGGUGGAUGCCUAGGCAGUCAGAGGCGAUGAAGGACGUGAUAAUCUGCGAAAAGCGUCGGUGAGUUGAUAUAAAGCGCUAUUAUCCGGCGAUAUCCGAAUGGGGAAACCCGGUGUAAUUCGUUACACCAUCGUCAAGCCAAUCCAUAACUUGACGAGGCAAACCAGGAAAACUGAAACAUCUUAGUAUCCUGAGGAAAAGAAAUCAACCGAGAUUCCCCUAGUAGUGGCGAGCGAACGGGGAGAAGCCCAGAGUCAACAACAGUUUGUAUAUUAGGAGAACGGUCUGGAAAGUCCGGUUAUAAAGGGUGAUAACCCCGUAUCUAAAAAUAAACAAUCUGCGAGCUCAAAAAAUAGGGCGGGACACGUGUUAUCCUGUCUGAAGAUGGGGGGACCAUCCUCCAAGGCUAAAUACUACUGACUGACCGAUAGCGAACAAGUACCGUGAGGGAAAGGCGAAAAGAACCCCGGCUAGGGGAGUGAAAUAGAACCUGAAACCGUGUACGUACAAGCAGUGGAAGUACUCUUUUAGAGUGCGACUGCGUACCUUUUGUAUAAUGGGUCAGCGACUUAUAUUUUGUAGCGAGGUUAACCAAAUAGGGGAGCCGUAGGGAAACCGAGUCUUAAAUGGGCGUAUAGUUGCAGGAUAUAGACCCGAAACCCGGUGAUCUAGCCAUGAGCAGGUUGAAGGUUGGGUAACACUAACUGGAGGACCGAACUGACUAAUGUUGAAAAAUUAGCGGAUGACUUGUGGCUAGGGGUGAAAGGCCAAUCAAACCGGGAGAUAGCUGGUUCUCCCCGAAAGCUAUUUAGGUAGCGCCUUGAGAAUUCAUCUACGGGGGUAGAGCUCUGUUUCGGCUAGGGGUCCAUCCCGGAUUACCAACCCGUUGCAAACUGCAAAUACCGUAGAAUGUUAUCUCGGGAGACACACGGCGGGUGAUAACGUCCGUCGUGGAAAGGGAAACAACCCAGACCGCCAGCUAAGGUCCCAAAGUUAUGGUUAAGUGGGAAACGAUGUGGGAAGGCAUAAACAGCUAGGAUGUUGGCUUAGAAGCAGCCAUCAUUUAAAGAAAGCGUAAUAGCUCACUAGUCGAGUCAUCCUGCGCGGAAGAUGUAACGGGGCUAAACCAUACACCGAAGCUGCGGCAGCGAAUAUGUUGCUGAAAACACUUAAAUUAUUAAUUGAUUUUAGGUGCUUUUGCAUACUCGCUGGGUAGGGGAGCGUUCUGUAAGCCUGUGAAGGUAGCCCGUGAAGGCUGCUGGAGGUAUCAGAAGUGCGAAUGCUGACAUAAGUAACGAUAAAACGGGUGAAAAACCCGUUCGCCGGAAGACCAAGGUUUCCUGUUCAACGUUAAUCGAAGCAGGGUAAGUCGACCCCUAAGGCGAGGCCGAAAGGCGUAGUCGAUGGGAAACAGGUUAAUAUUCCUGUACUUAAUAUAACUGUGAUGGGGGGACGAAGAAAGCUAGGUUCGCCAGGCGUCGGUAGUCCUGGUUCAAGCGUGUAGGUGGAAUAAGUAGGUAAAACCGUUUAUUCGUAACACUGAGGCGUGAUAACGAGCUGCUAAUGUAGUGAAGGAAUUUAUGCUACGCUUCCAAGAAAAGCCUCUAAACAAUAGGUUAAAUUAAAUCGUACCUUAAACCGACACAGGUGGUCAGGUAGAAAAUACUCAGGCGCUUGAGAGAACUCGGGUGAAGGAACUAGGCAAAAUAGUGCCGUAACUUCGGGAGAAGGCACGCUGGCAUGUAAGUAAAAGGCUUUACGCUUCUAGCUGAAGCCAGUCGCAGAUACCAGCUGGCUGCAACUGUUUAUUAAAAACACAGCACUGUGCAAACACGUAAGUGGACGUAUACGGUGUGACGCCUGCCCGGUGCCGGAAGGUUAAUUAAGGGAGUUAUCUUUGUGAGAAGCUCCUAAAAGAAGCCCCGGUAAACGGCGGCCGUAACUAUAACGGUCCUAAGGUAGCGAAAUUCCUUGUCGGGUAAGUUCCGACCUGCACGAAUGGCGUAAUGAUGGCCAGGCUGUCUCCACCCGAGACUCAGUGAAAUUGAAUUCGCCGUGAAGAUGCGGUGUACCCACGGCAAGACGGAAAGACCCCGUGAACCUUUACUAUAACUUGACACUGAACAUUAAGCCUUGAUGUGUAGAAUAGGUGGGAGGCUUUGAAAUUUAGGCGCCAGCUUGAAUGGAGCCAAUCUUGAAAUACCACUCUUCAAUGUUUGUUGUUCUCACUCAGAACCGUAAUCCGGUUCGAAGACAGUGUCUGGCAGGUAGUUUGACUGGGGCGGUCUCCUCCUAAAAAGUAACGGAGGAGCGCAAAAGUUAGCUAAUCACGGUCGGAAAUCGUGAGGUUAGUGCAAAGGCAUAAGCUAGCUUGACUGCGAGAGUGACAGCUCGAGCAGGUGCGAAAGCAGGUCUUAGUGAUCCGGUGGUUCUGAAUGGAAAGGCCAUCGCUCAACGGAUAAAAGGUACUCCGGGGAUAACAGGCUGAUACCGCCCAAGAGUUCAUAUCGACGGCGGUGUUUGGCACCUCGAUGUCGGCUCAUCACAUCCUGGGGCUGAAGUAGGUCCCAAGGGUAUGGCUGUU
rnacentral:rRNA from 1 species